CCAGAAGCCGGUAGCCUAACCUUCGGGAGGGCGCCGUCCACGGUGUGGUCGAUGACUGGGGUGAAGUCGUAACAAGGUAGCCGUAGGGGAACCUGCGGCUGGAUCACCUCCUUUAAA
rnacentral:rRNA from 1 species